AGAAUCAACGCUGGCGGCGUGCCUAACACAUGCAAGUCGAACGAGAAAGUGGAGCAAUCCAUGAGUAAAGUGGCGCACGGGUGAGUAACACGUGACUAACCUACCCUUGAGUGGGGAAUAACUUCGGGAAACCGAGGCUAAUACCGCAUAACACCUACGGGUCAAAGGAGCAAUUCGCUUAAGGAGGGGGUCGCGGCAGAUUAGUUAGUUGGCAGGGUAAUGGCCUACCAAGACGGUGAUCUGUAUCCGGCCUGAGAGGGCGCACGGACACACUGGAACUGAAACACGGUCCAGACUCCUACGGGAGGCAGCAGUGGGGAAUUUUGCGCAAUGGGGGAAACCCUGACGCAGCAACGCCGCGUGGAGGAUGAAGUCCCUUGGGACGUAAACUCCUUUCGAUCGGGACGAUUAUGACGGUACCGGAAGAAGAAGCCCGGCUAACUCGCGCCAGCAGCCGC
rnacentral:rRNA from 1 species